rnacentral:tRNA from 1 species
GCCCCGGUAGCUCAAUUGGAUAGAGCAUUGUCUUCGCAGGCCAAGGUUGCGGGUUCGAGUCCCGCCCGGGGUA